rnacentral:lncRNA from 1 species
UGGCUUCGGUUCCGACUGGAGUUGGUUGAGACUCGAUACUACACUCUUUGAGAUUGGACUUUAGGGAAGCUUCGGUCAACCACUUGGUGUUGCACUGAAGUGGACUUAAGGAAAGGUCAAUGAUUUGAGAUCCUUCUAGAACCCGGUUACUAUUCUAAGACAGGUUGAACCAACCAAACUUCAGUGGGGAGGGUAUUUACCUAUGGAACUCACGCAAGCCUUAAAACCUAGGAAUGAUUGUUGUGUGACUUGCUUGUGCUUGUUAUUUAUCUAACAACAUGACAUCAUAACAACAUAACAUCAUAACAUCAUGGCAUUGUACUAACCAUUUCAAGGAUUUAGGGAUUUAACUCUGCUAAAAAAAAAAAAACAGAAAAAACAAAAACAAAAGCAAAAACAAAAGAGAAAAGAAAAAAAAAGCUCUUUUUGUUAGUUUAUGCAAAGUUAAAUCCCGAAAGUCCUUGAAAACAUUUCAUACAUUGCAUUGCAUCGCAUAACAGGUAUUCUAAAGGAUCAGUGUUCUCACGAUUUUCCUAUCAAACAGAUUCCAGCAGAUUCAAACAGAUUGAACAAUGGCUCUCGAACAAACUGUC